rnacentral:rRNA from 1 species
CGMGAAGCGAACCUCGCGGGCUUUCAGACGAAUAAUGCCGGCAGCGACCUACUCUCCCACACAGUUUCCCAUGCAGUACCAUCGGCGGUAUGAGGCUUAACUUCCGUGUUCGGAAUG